rnacentral:tRNA from 1 species
UGGUUCGUAGCUCAAUUGGCGAAGAGUAUCCGGCUUUUACCCGGAGGGUUGUGAGUUCGAGCCUCACCGGACCAA